GUGAUUGAUCUGUUAAUCAAGUAAACAUUCUUACCGAGCAAAACCAAGGUCGUUAGGUAUUUGGAUUGGGAACUUGCUGUCUGGAGGAGCAUGAGUGGUCAUGGGUCGACUGAAGAGACUCAUGUGAUUAUUUGUUUACUUUUACACAUUGGCUUUCGAACAACUUAAUUAUGGUUUAUUAUUUGCUUCCGCUAAACAUAUUGAAUUUCGUAUAAACUUGUGAUGGAAUUGUUAUUAAUAAUUGAGAAUUUUAUUUUGAAACUUGUGGGUUCAAUGUAAUUAGUGGCUCAUUGUCAGUACGUCACACGCCUAUCAGGGACACUCCCUAGGUGGUAUUUUGGGGGUGUGACAGUUUGGUAUCAGAGCCACUAGUUAUAGUGAACUUGGUUUUAAAAUGUUUUUAUAAAACCAGACUAUAACCGAACAGUUCUGAAAACAAGAAUACGACCAUGACACUCAGCUCCAGAUUGCAAGACAUUCGUGACUCGCGUUUGGUGAUGUUCUUUGCUUGCUACUCGAGUUUAGGGAACCAUUUGACAUGA
rnacentral:lncRNA from 1 species